rnacentral:rRNA from 1 species
AUGGCUGAUCGAUGGUGCUUGUCAGAGCGACAAGGCCAUCAUCUGCAAUCCAAUGGGGCAAUUGAUCUUGAACUGGAUGGUGGGACUGCAAGUAUUCAUCCAGAAAUAGGACUCACAAAAGUUAAUACUCGAGCCAAAUGGAGUCACCAAAUGAAGUUGUUCCUUGUUAGACUCCUAAAAGAUCACGAUGUGCCUGGUUUUCGGACACAUAAUGCUUGGAGUAAGGAGGCAUGGAGAAAUAUUGUUUCUCAACUAAAUCAAAAGUUUGAUCAAUCAUUUACUCUCAACCAAGUCAAAUAAAAGGAGCAAGAUCUGACGAGAGACUAUCAAAGUGUUCAAGAAUUGUUGGAUCAAAGUGGCUUUGGAUGGGAUAAGGACAGAAAAAUGGUUGACGCACCAGAUAGUCGUUAUGCUGAAGGGAGAACUCGUCAAGGCUUGGACCAUUAUACUAGGAAGAGGAAGCAUGCACCGGUUCCUUCAUCACAGUCAACACAAGUGACUGAUCUGUAUCAAUCACCAUCACCUACCAUGCCAGCUGCCGGUGAGUCAGAUAUGCAGUUUACUUUAGAAAAACUUGAAGAGUUCAAUGUGGAUUCUCCCCCGCACCUAUCUACACCUAUUCAGCAUGUGCAAGCCCCACCAAGAUCUACACAAAUGGACAAACAUGACACUAAGCGUGGGAAACAGAAACGUGGUGCUAAUGACGACUUCCAUGAGAAGUAUCUAAAACUGAAGAAGGAAGAAAUUGAUCGAUUUGCUGCAAUUGAGGAUAAGAAGCUAGAGGACCCCUACUCCAUCAAUAAGUGCAUCACAGCAAUUGAAGGGUUGGAAGGUCUACAACUAGGAGAUAUGUUGAUGGCAUCAGAUAUCUUCAAAUGCAAGGAGAACAGGGAAGUUUUCUUGUCAUACUCUACUAAUGAACUAUGA